rnacentral:rRNA from 1 species
CCUACGGGUGGCAGCAGUGGGGAAUAUUGGGCAAUGGAGGCAACUCUGACCCUGCAACGCCGCGUGAGUGAUGGAGGUCUUCGGAUUUUAAAACUCUUUAAGUGUGGACGAAGAAAGUGACUGUACCCACAGAAUAAGCCUCGGCUAACUACGUGCCAGCAGCCGCGGUAAUACGUAGGAGGCAAGCGUUAUCCGGAAGGACUGGGCGUAAAGGGUGCGUAGGUGGGUUCACAAGUUAGUGGCGAAAUGCCGGGGCUCAACUUCGGAACUACUACUAAUACUGUUGGGCUUGAGUGCAGGAGGGGUGAACGGAAUUCUUGGUGUAGCAGUGGAAUGCGUAGAUAUUAGGAGGAACACCAGUGGCGAAAGCGAGUCACUGGACUGUAACUGACGCUGAGGCACGAAGGCGUGGGGAGCAAAAGGGAUUAGAUACCCUGGUAGUC